rnacentral:rRNA from 1 species
UGGGGAAUCUUGCACAAUGGGGGCAACCCUGAUGCAGCGACGCCGCGUGAGCGAUGAAGCCCUUCGGGGCGUAAAGCUCUUUCGACCGGAACGAUAAUGACGGUACCGGGAGAAGAAGCUGCGGCUAACUACGUGCCAGCAGCCGCGGUAAUACGUAGGCAGCAAGCGUUGUUCGGAGUUACUGGGCGUAAAGAGUGCGUAGGCGGUAUUCUAAGUUCGGUGUGAAAUCUCCCGGCUUAACUGGGAGGGUGCGCCGAAGACUGGGAAGCGGGAGUGUGAGAAAGGCAGGCGGAAUUCCUGGUGUAGCGGUGAAAUGCGUAGAUAUCAGGAGGAACACCGGCGGUGUAGACGGCUUGCUAGACCAUAACUGACGCUGAGGCACGAAAGCGUGGGUAGCAAACA